rnacentral:lncRNA from 1 species
AACUUACUGAAAAUUUGAGUGGCCACAUGACGUGCCGUGAGUUCCUGUACAGUCUGACUCCAGGAAGUGAGCCGAAGCGCCAGCUAUCAUUCUGAGACAAAGAGUCACAGGAAGAAGCCAUCUGGCCAAGCGAUGCAAAACAGACUGUGCUUGUGGUGCAAGUAUGUGGCACCUGUGCCCAGAGGCAGACCCCCUUCCACCCAUCCCAAAGUGCAGGACUCCUGCCACAGGAAAUGAAGAGCAAAGUGAGGUCUGGAAGGGGAGUGGAGCCUUUAGUCAUCUCACCGACUGGAUUCAAUGCAAAAUGCAACGUGACCUGGGGUGUCCAGACAUUUGCCUAGGAUCCAACUUUUUCCCACAAUGCUUUGUGGUGAAACCUCAUAAUGAGACACAGCUGUUGCACUUCAUCUCGGGUCCCGUCCGGCAUCAGCAUGUUGUCUGUUACCCUUACGCCUCGUCUGCAGCGCCUUUCGUCAGUCAAGAAAAGGCAAACGAAAAAAAAAUGGCAGCAGCAGGAGCGGGAUGGCUGGGGUGAUGUUGGGCCUAAUGAACCGGGACGGCGCACAGAGAAGGUCCAUGGCCCCUGGGAGCAGGGCCCCAUCCACAAUUAGGUCCAUUCGUCUUCGGGAGGAGACUGUGGGGGUUCCUGAGGUGAGUGGUAGGCCACAGCCAGGGAAAGGUACCUACAGAGUGUCGCACUGCUGGGAUACACGAACACACACACAGACCCGCUCAUAUGUUAACAUAUAGGAUAUUACCACAUGAAGGAGGUACGAAUCACACAACCAGAAUUGGUUCCGGUGAACGAUCCAGCUGAAGACCCUCAUCACUUACCAUGAUCUCCAUCAUGACUGUCUUUCUUGCUAAUGUGAUGGUCUGGAACUCUGAUCACAUCCACCAUCUCACACAAAUACUCACACAAAAUCAGAGAUGCAUCCAAACGCAUACGCAUAUACGUGCAAGGCAUCUCACUCACACAAAAACAGGGUAAAUAACACACAUCCCUUCAUUCAUACGCACACAUACCACAGGAAAUAUAGAGUCACCAGUUCAUCUGAAACACGUCUGUGGGCUGUGGGAGGACACUGGAGCAGCUGGAGGUGAUGAUGAUGAUGAUGACAUUAACGAUGAUGAUGAUGAUGGCAAUGAUGAUUAUUAUCAUUUGUUUUUUCAUUUAGCUGGCGCCUUUGUCCAAACUAAUGAACAAUGUUAGGUUUGUAAACAGCCCCGGAUUUGUGAGGCAGCAGUGCUACCCAUUGCGCCGCUGCGUCACCCUAAACUACCUCAAACUAUUCACAAUUCAUAAUCACUAAAAGACAAGAUAAGGUCCUGUUCCCACGCCUCCCUCAAUGCUUCAUAAAACCAGAACCAACGCUUGGAAAAACUGUAAAAUGCAGAGGUCAUGGUCCUGGAGUUAUCUGGUAUAAUGAGCUGUUCCUCAUCUUUUGUUAAUCCUGUCCAGAGUCUGUUCUUCUUUUCUAGGGAGGCAAUAAAAUGACAUAGUUGGAGAUAUUAAUAGAAGUC